GGGGAAUUUUUUUUUUUUUUGUGUAUCAAAAAAAGGCUGUUCAAAGAUUAAGCCAUGCAUGUCUAAGUWUAAGCAAUUAUACCGUGAAACUGCGAACGGCUCAUUAAAUCAGUUAUCGUUUAUUUGAUAGUACCUUACUACUUGGAUAACCGUGGUAAUUCUAGAGCUAAUACAUGCUAAAAACCCCAACUUCGGGAGGGGUGUAUUUAUUAGAUAAAAAACCAAUGCCCUUCGGGGCUCUCUGGUGAUUCAUAAUAACUUCUCAGAUCGCAUGGCCUUGCGCCGGCGACGGUUCAUUCAAAUUUCUGCCCUAUCAACUUUCGAUGGUAAGGUAUUGGCUUACCAUGGUUUCAACGGGUAACGGGGAAUUAGGGUUCGAUUCCGGAGAGGGAGCCUGAGAAACGGCUACCACAUCCAAGGAAGGCAGCAGGCGCGCAAAUUACCCAAUCCCAAUACGGGGAGGUAGUGACAAUAAAUACUGAUACAGGGCUCUUUAGGGUCUUGUAAUUGGAAUGAGUACAAUUUAAACCUCUUAACGAGGAACAAUUGGAGGGCAAGUCUGGUGCCAGCAGCCGCGGUAAUUCCAGCUCCAAUAGCGUAUAUUAAAGUUGUUGCAGUUAAAAAGCUCGUAGUUGAACCUUUGGCCUGGCUGGCGGGUCCGCCUCACCGCGUGCACUCGUCCGGCCGGGCCUUUUCUUCUGGAGAACCGCAUGCCCUUCACUGGGUGUGUUGGGGACCAGGACUUUUACUUUGAAUAAAUCAGAGUGUUCAAAGCAGGCAUUUGCUCGAAUACGUUAGCAUGGAAUAAUAGAAUAGGACGUGCGGUCUUAUUUUGUUGGUUUCUAAGACCGCCGUAAUGAUUAAUAGGGACAGUCGGGGGCAUCAGUAUUCAAUUGUCAGAGGUGAAAUUCUUGGAUUUAUUGAAGACUAACUACUGCGAAAGCAUUUGCCAAGGAUGUUUUCAUUAAUCAGUGAACGAAAGUUAGGGGAUCGAAGACGAUCAGAUACCGUCGUAGUCUUAACCAUAAACUAUGCCGACUAGGGAUCGGGCGGUGUUAUUAUUUUGACUCGCUCGGCACCUUACGAGAAAUCAAAGUGUUUGGGGUUCUGGGGGRGAGYAYGGUCCCCAAGGCUGAAACUUAAAGAGUUUUUGUGCCGGAGAAUGUUUUUGAGAAGU
rnacentral:rRNA from 1 species